rnacentral:rRNA from 1 species
UACAGAGGUCUCAAGCGUUGUUCGGAUUCAUUGGGCGUAAAGGGUGCGUAGGUGGCGUCGUAAGUCGGGUGUGAAAUUUCGGAGCUUAACUCCGAAACUGCAUUCGAUACUGCGGUGCUUGAGGACUGGAGAGGAGACUGGAAUUUACGGUGUAGCAGUGAAAUGCGUAGAGAUCGUAAGGAAGACCAGUGGCGAAGGCGGGUCUCUGGACAGUUCCUGACACUGAGGCACGAAGGCCAGGGGAGCAAACAGG